rnacentral:rRNA from 1 species
UACGGAGGGUGCGAGCGUUGUCCGGAAUCAUUGGGCGUAAAGGGCGCGUAGGUGGCGGGACAAGCGUGCGGUGAAAGCCUGGGGCCUCGAACCCCGGGUCGGCCGUGCGAACUGUUUUGCUUGAGCAACUGUAGAGGCAGGCGGAAUUCCGGGUGUAGCGGUGGAAUGCGUAGGAGAUCCGGAAGAACACCGGUGGCGAAGGCGGCCUGACUGG